rnacentral:rRNA from 1 species
UACGGGGGGGGCAAGCGUUGUUCGGAAUUACUGGGCGUAAAGGGCUCGUAGGCGGCCAACUAAGUCGGAUGUGAAAUCCCCGGGCUCAACCCGGGAACUGCGUCCGAGACUGGCAGGCUCGAAUCCGGGAGAGGGAUGUGGAAUUCCAGGUGUAGCGGUGAAAUGCGUAGAUAUCUGGAGGAACACCGGUGGCGAAGGCGGCAUCCUGGACCGGUAUUGACGCUGAGGCGCGAAAGCCAGGGGAGCAAACGGG